rnacentral:tRNA from 1 species
GGGGUUGUAGCUCAACUGACAGAGCGCUUGCCUAGCAUGUGUGAGGCCCUGGGUUCGAUCCCCAGCACCACA